UUAGCAGAUUGUCACUCACCUUGCUGAUGCGGUAGGAGAUGGCAGGGAGGAAGGAAUAUGACUCUUUUACAGAUUCCAUUGAACCUAGAAGUGCGGAGAUUCCUAUGACUGCUGCUUUACUGCUCGACAUCCCAGACAUCUUACUGGCCUUCGCUGCUGCGCGAAGGUGAGGCAGGAACUCCUAAUGAUGCAAUAAGAUGGGUGCUGUCCUGCGUAUCGAACCUGUGGCUCUCUGAGAGUCCGGCACUGCACUUCCUGCUGCUUCCCUGAUUGGGUACCAGAGAGAGGGGGUCUGGUCUGAUCAGUGCUAUCAAUUAUAUUUGGCGUUGUGUACUCACACAACAUCGUGCAGCUCCAGUCUGGUGUCUGGAGAAGGGUUGAUGAGGAUAUAAGACAGUCUGUUCCCUUGGUCUGUCAUCCCAUCUGACACAGGAAGAAAAGAGGUGAG